rnacentral:rRNA from 1 species
AUGAUCAAUAUUAAAGUGCUGAAAUGGAAAUGGAUAGCAGAAGGAUUCAUUGCUACACAAUGGGGAAGUUUGGAUCAAGUAGCAGAGAACUGUUUUAAUGACCUUGUUAAUAGAAAUAUGAUCCAGCCAGUUUAUGGUAAUUAUGACACUUCGGUGAAAUAUUGUAGGGUCCAUGAUAUGGUGCUUGACCUUAUUAUAUCUUUAUCAGACGAAGAGAAUUUUGCAACUGUCUUAAAUGGGCGUGUAUGCAAUUCUUUCCCAAAUAAGAUACGUCGUCUGUCCAUGCAAUCUAGUGGCAAAGAGCAUAAAGGGGCAGUUGGGGCAAUUACAGAGACCAAGAUACAUGUUCGCUCACUGACUAUCUUUUGGCAAGUUGAGCAGAUGCCCCACCUUGUGGACUUCCAUGCUUUGCGGGUGUUGGAUCUUGGAGAUUGUAAAUGGUUGGAAAACAAGCAUGUAAAACAUAUAGCUAGUUCGCGUCAGCUGAGGUAUUUGAGAAUUGGCACUUCUAAGAUUACUGAGCUUCCUUGUGAAAUUGGAAAGCUGCAGCACUUGGAGACUCUGGAUUUGAGAUACUGUUAUUCACUUCCAAGACUUCCAUCAACCGUGGCGCAGUUACGGAAAUUGGUGCGCCUAUUUGUCAAUCGCAACCCAUGCUACACAUACCCGUGCCUCCAAGUUCUUAAAAUUCAGUCAGGUUUUGGAAAGGUUCCCAGGGGAAUGACCUCCCUCGAGAAUCUCAUGAAACUAUGCAUAGAGGUCAUGGAAUUUGAUAAGGAGGAUCUCCAAGUUCUCAUGGGCAUGCCUUCUCUGGCUCAUCUGGAGCUUGAGAUAACAAGAAGGGCCAUUAAUGAAAAGCUGAUCAUUGGUAGUGACGGAUUCAAACUGCUAAAGGUCUUCUGCUUCCGCUAUUCACUCUUCCUUACUCAUGUUACAGUGAAAUCACCGGGUGGACUGCGGCUAACAUUUGCACCAGGUGCUAUGCCAGCACUCCGUUGUCUCCGUCUUGACUUGAGCCCAAUGUUGAUCGCAUCCGACUUUUAUGCAGACUUGGGUGUCGAGCAUCUUCCAGGCCCUGCAGAGCUCGAGGUCCAAAUCAAUUGUUUCAGAGCAGCUCCAGGCAGGGUGAAGGCUCUGGAGUAUUCCAUUGAGAAAGCAACCAACUUGCUCCCCAAGUGCAUAAUCCGUGUCAGCAGAGUCUGUGAAGAUCAGAUGUAUAAGGAUGACAAGGAGUGGACCAGAAACGAGGGGCAAUUUUUAUUCACUCCUACGAGUAGCAAUUUUUUAUAA